GGAGUUAGCCGGUGCUUCUUCUGCGAGUAACGUCACAGAUGUAAGGUAUUAACUUACACCCUUUCCUCCUCGCUGAAAGUGCUUUACAACCCGAAGGCCUUCUUCACACACGCGGCAUGGCUGCAUCAGGGUUUCCCCCAUUGUGCAAUAUUCCCCACUGCUGCCUCCCGUAGGAGUCUGGGCCGUGUCUCAGUCCCAGUGUGGCUGAUCAUCCUCUCAGACCAGCUAGGGAUCGUCGCCUAGGUGAGCCUUUACCUCACCUACUAGCUAAUCCCACCUGGGCUUAUCCAUCAGCGCAAGGCCCGAAGGUCCCCUGCUUUCCCCCGUAGGGCGUAUGCGGUAUUAGCAGUCGUUUCCAACUGUUAUCCCCACAAACUGGGCAAAUUCCCAGGCAUUACUCACCCGUCCGCCGCUCGUCAUCUUCAAAAGCAAGCUUUUGAAUGUUACCUCUCGACUUGCUAUGUGUUAGGUCGUCGCCGCCACGCGUUCACUCUGACGCCGACGUAGUACUACUAACCUACUACGUACGUAGGACGGCGGGUCGGUCGGACGGACGGCGACGACGUAG
rnacentral:rRNA from 1 species